UACGUAGGUGGCAAGCGUUACUCGGAAUCACUGGGCAUAAAGGGCGUGUAGGCGGACGCGUAAGUCCGGUGUAAAAGCCCCCGGCUCAACCGGGGAAGGCCAUCGGAGACUGCGUGUCUGGAGUGCGGGAGGGGAGAGUGGAACUCUUGGUGGAGCGGUGAAAUGCGUAGAUAUCAAGAGGAACGCCGGUGGCGAAAGCGGCUCUCUGGCCCGUUACUGACGCUGAGGCGCGAAAGCUAGGGGAG
rnacentral:rRNA from 1 species